ensembl:lncRNA
GACGGAGUACAAACUACAGUGUUAAUGCCUGAAAAUAAGUAGGCUACUACUAAAAAAACAUAAACCGUUUGUGUGAUUGACCCCAGCAGAUGGGCUUCCACCCGUACCAACAACGUAAGGAGACAUCUACUGUACAUCUACACUUCAUCUGUUUGAAAGAGUGAUGGCGAAGAUGAUAGAUUUCUUGUUGACAACCACCGGAAACACUGGGGUUGCAUCUACGUGUAUGCAGUGGUAUACACCCACACAGAGAAACGCGUAAACGCGUACACGGACGGUGGAUAUACGCACACUCUUCGGAUGGUCGUGGCACACGUGUUUGAUUAAAGUCUCAUCAUAAUAAUCCCUGCGUUUAUUUUCGGCCCUGGUGAAAGGAGAUACUGCUACCACUCCAUUCAGAUAUACACAUAAUGCAGAAAGACCCUUCACACUGACGAAAGGAAUGAUAUCAUUUUCUAAUAGUGUUCAGUGUUGCCAAGGCCUUUUGGUUCAAACGACGCUUUUGUGGUUCAAACGACGUUUUCAAUUUAACAUUUGAGGGAGAACCAGGUGGGAAGACUGACUCAUUUCAAUUCAGGACCAAUGAAAGAAUAAAGCUGAAACCAGAAGCCUGAUGCAGUACAUCACUGUGGGGCUGCAGUUUAGUCUCAUGACUUGUCACGAUAAUUCACCGAAACGUAGACGAUCAUACCAAUCCACCAGGACAGAAACAGAAAACGUUCCAGGAGGGUACAGCUGUGAAUGCCAAUCCCUAACCCCGGAGCGGGGCAUUCCCAUGAAGGGGAACUGGGACUGUUGAUUUUGCGGAGGAUUUAAACAGACGUGCGAAGUCAUUAUCUAGGCUUAACUUUAUAAUUAAACCAUUUUAAUAUUUUACUUUUAGCCUCAUUACGCUAAACCUUGUGCGCCUGGAUUCGGCGCCGGGUAUUCGACACACACACGCAUAGGACAACACUGAAAAUGAAGCGGCCCCCUAAUCCACACAGGACAUUGGUCGUUGGUCCGCGGCCCGUCGCCACCCCCAUAUCUACCUCUGAGGAUCCUGUGCUGAGUCGUCACCAUUUGGCGAUGCGGGGAAGGCAUCUGAUUGGCCGGGGAUGCAGAGAACGCCUGACCUCAUAAAACUAGAUUAUAAAAAGAAUGAAGGCAACCGCGGUCGCCGCCGACGAUAAC